GACGAACGCUGGCGGCGUGCUUAACACAUGCAAGUCGAACGGAAAGGCCCCUUUGGGGGUCCUCGAGUGGCGAACGGGUGAGUAACACGUGAGUAACCUGCCCUUGACUUCGGGAUAACUUCAGGAAACUGGGGCUAAUACCGGAUAGGAAUCCUUGCUGCAUGGUGGGGGUUGGAAAGCUUCGGCGGUUUUGGAUGGACUCGCGGCUUAUCAGCUUGUUGGUGGGGUAGUGGCUUACCAAGGCUUUGACGGGUAGCCGGCCUGAGAGGGCGACCGGCCACAGUGGGACUGAGAUGCGGCCCAGACUCCUACGGGAGGCAGCAGUGGGGAAUAUUGCACAAUGGGCGGAAGCCUGAUGCAGCAACGCCGCGUGCGGGAUGACGGCCUUCGGGUUGUAAACCGCUUUCAGCAGGGGCGAAGCUUGUGGUGACGGUACCUGCAGAAGAAGCACCGGCUAACUACGUG
rnacentral:rRNA from 1 species